rnacentral:rRNA from 1 species
AUGCACGCUGGCGGCGUGCCUCAUCCCUGCAAGUCGCGCGAACGGACGAGAAGCUUGCUUCUCUGAUGUUAGCGGCGGACGGGUGAGUAACACGUGGAUAACCUACCUAUAAGACUGGGAUAACUUCGGGAAACCGGAGCUAAUACCGGAUAAUAUUUUGAACCGCAUGGUUCAAAAGUGAAAGACGGUCUUGCUGUCACUUAUAGAUGGAUCCGCGCUGCAUUAGCUAGUUGGUAAGGUAACGGCUUACCAAGGCAACGAUGCAUAGCCGGCCUGAGAGGGUGAUCGGCCACACUGGAACUGAGACACGGUCCAGACUCCUACGGGAGGCAGCAGUAGGGAAUCUUCCGCAAUGGGCGAAAGCCUGACGGAGCAACGCCGCGUGAGUGAUGAAGGUCUUCGGAUCGUAAAACUCUGUUAUUAGGGAAGAACAUAUGUGUAAGUAACUGUGCACAUCUUGACGGUACCUAAUCAGAAAGCCACGGCUAACUACGUG